AUGGCUAAGUUCAUUUGGAGCAGUUCUAUUGAUCGGCGGUCUAUGCAUUGGAUAUCAUGGGAUAAACUAGCUACACCGAAAUGCAAAGGUGGAAUGGGCUUUGGUGAUCUCCGCUUGUUCAACCUAGAUCUUUUGGGGAAGCACGGAUGGCGCUUUAUGACUAACCCCAACUCUCUAUGUGCCUGGGUUUUGAAGGGCCGUUACUUCCCAGAUUUUGAGUUUCAGCUUGCCACAAUACCAACAGCCGCAUCUGCUACUUGGUGAGCCAUCGUUGCCGGUCGAGAGGCGCUCGAUGCUGGCCUUAUCAAACGCGUGGGCACCGGUUCAACCAUAUCCAUAUGGGAUGAUCGAUGGAUUCCGUCGACAGUAUCUAUGACUCCCAUGCUGAGACCUCAAAAUGCAUCUGUUGAGUUGGUUAGUGAGUUGAUCGACACUGACAACUGGACAUGGAAGACGGAGUUAGUACAUGAGCUAUUUAUCGGCCCCGAUGCACAAGCUAUUCUGAAUAUACUUUGCGCCAGGGGGGUGGUGAUGAUUUUAUGGCAUGGGCACACGAAAAAUCUGGCAUCUACACAGUUAAAUCGGCGUACCGGUCUCUAG
rnacentral:rRNA from 1 species